AAUAAAUAUUGAUAUUUGCUCAUUUAAAAAAUAUUUAGUUUAUAAACUAAAAAAUGUCUUCCAACAGCUUUACCAACAUUUAUAGUGGAUGACCAGGAAGCGUUCAUGAUGCCAGGGUCCUUAAAAAUUCACACGUUUAUGCACUGGCAGAGAAAGGGGAUCUUUUUCCACCAAAUACUGAAGAGAUAAUGGGUGUUCGAGUGCCAAUAAUGCUGCUAGGUGACCCAGCCUACCUCCUUCGAAGAUGGUUGGUGAAAGGACAUGCAGAUACCGGAACUUUAACAA